AGUGGGAAAAGUAGAUUCUGGGAGCCCCGGGAUAUUGAAACGAAACAAAAUCUCUCUCAAUUUACAGAGAAGAAAUAUAGUUUUAAGGGAGUAUUUUCUCUUAUUGUUUCCCUUAAGGAAUCGGAAAACCCAGGAAGAAGAAACUUGUUUUCUUUAUUAAUUGCCUAUAAAUCACCCCUUUCCCUUUGAAGGUUGAUUGAAAUAGUCUUUGGAAUUUUCUUUUUCUUUCUUGGGUGUAUUUAUUUGCACAAAUUUUGAUUUCCUUUUUCGUUAAAAUGGGAACAGAAGUUUUGCGGCCACAAAAUUGUUUGAUUGACAGGUUCAGGGAACCACAACCGGCGGCGGCGUUUCAUCGUCGGAAAAAUAAUGGGUAUUAUAAUAACAACGGUUACCGGAAACCGGUUGUUAGAACGGAGAAAAAGAAGUUGAACAGCAAGAUCCAGAACCAAUCUGAGCCGUCGAUUUCUAGGAGAUCUGAGGAGUCGAAACCGGUUCAGAUCCCUGGGAGAGUUACACCGGUGGUAGACGGCGGAAUCGUGAUGGGUCAGGUAAUGAUUUUGAGAAGGGGAGAGUCGUUGGAUUCUCUGAACCCUAAUAUCAGGAAAGAGAACAAAACAACGUCGUCGGGUAAGAAGAAGAAACAACCGGCGAGUGGUAGCGGUGAUGAAUUGACGACAGUUUACGGUACCGGAAGAUUAGGUCCGGAACAACCCGGAAUGUUCCCGAAAAAUAUCCGGGUCGGGCAUACCCCGACCGACGUUUAUGCCGGAUCUGCUUUCUCAAAUUCUCCAUCGCCUCGAUCUCUUCCUCUACCUUCUUUCUUCAACAACAUGAACAACAAAAAGCAAGUAGAAUUGACAUCAUUCGAUGAUUCAGCGUCGAGAGAUUUACGGCGGUUGCUCCGACUGGAGUAAUGGAUCCGACCCGUAUUCUGGAGAAUUACCUCUUAUAAUUCAUAAUAACUAGUUUGGAUUCUCCCCAGUCUCUAAUUAGGUUUAAGGUUGACUUAUAUUACUAUUAAAUCUUUCCUAUUCGCUCCUAAAUUCUUAUAAUUUUGGAACUUUCAGUUUUCUCCAUGAAUUUUUUUUAGACAUGGAGAAUUGAAAAGGUCUGAAAUUUGAGAAAAAAAUGCGAAUAAUUUCUUCUUCUUAUUUUAUAUUUUAGGUCUGGGGAUUAAGUAUGGAUGGAGGGGUUUAUUGUAUUUAAGGGGAAAGAGAUCGAUGAAUAAGUUUAGUUUUAUGUUAAAUAUAUUGUGUUUGUGAAAAAAAAGACUCUAAUGAUGGAAUUAUUGAAUAGCUUUUGUAAAGCUUUUUAUUUUGGAUUAAUGGUUAGUACUAUAAUCAGAACAAGU
rnacentral:misc_RNA from 1 species